rnacentral:rRNA from 1 species
UUCUGGGAGGAUUGACAGAUUGAGAGCUCUUUCUUGAUUCGGUGGAUGGUGGUGCAUGUCCGUUCUUAGUUGGUGGAGCGAUUUGUCUAUUUAAUUCCGAUAACGAACGAGACUCUAGCCUAUUAAAUGGGUACGUGGUUUUCUGCACCUUGUAUCCUUCUUAGAGGGACAAGCGGCUCCUAGCCGCACGAACGAGACCAAUAACAAGUCUGUGAUGCCCUUAGAU